CAUUCGGAUCGCGGUUACUAAUUUCGAUCCGAAUUAGGGGGGUAUAUGUAAAAUAUUGGAUCGCGAUUAAUAAUCGGAUCCAAAUUAGGGGGCUUCUUGAAAAUUACAGGGCCGGCAAAUGGCAGCCGGCAUGCCGCCCCGCCGCUGCCGCCGACCUUUGCUUUAGCCCCGAAAUGCCGGCGACCAUCCCUAGAGUUGCUACCCACGAGAGCCUCUGUCCACUCACAUGACUAUCUGCGGCGGCAAGCCUGCAAAGUUCCUCCCGGCGGCGCCGCCAACGAGGGAGGCGGGUGCCCAGACCGCGGCUCCACAAGACGGCGCAGGAACGGUUAAGCGGAGAGCGGGCUUGACGGCCAUUCGCCGCUUCGUGGUGCCCACAGCUGCAACCACGACCGCCUGCCGGCCUUCGGCUGCCGCGGUUCGGAUGGAGACGGAGACGACGACGAAGACGUGGUUCCUCGCCGCUCGGCCAGCGCGCCGGUCGGUGGCGCCGGCGUCUGCACGCAAAGUGCUUGACGCUUUGCCUGCAUGGGGACAAAUCUUUUCCGGCAACACGUACCUCAGAGCAGGGUGCACAUACCACGGAGUUCUGAAGAAACGACCGGGGCAUCUCAUCUCAUCGCCUGCCUCUGCCUUCGUUCCCACUGUCCCCUGAAUCCCCUUCUUGCGAGAACUCCAGUAAGCAGGCAAAAGCAGAGUCGGACCUGAUGAGGAAUGGAAUUGAAUUGCGGCGAUUACUGCACGCGAGAUGGUGGAAUCAUGACCUCCUUUUCAAUUGGCACUGCAGUACAUCCAUUUUAAUAUGCUGCUCACUAUAUGAUGGGAAACUACAUCUGCGUGAAAGAGCUGUGUUCGAGCUUGAGUUUUGUCAUAGGUGAUGUACUAUGCCCACUGUCAAGCCAGCCCUUAAUAGUCUCACCUUCAUAUGUGAAUCCAUCUGCAGCAAUGUAAGGAUUGUUCAUGAUCUCCUGUUCAUCAUCAAAUGAGAGCUGAUACUGACUGGCCCAUCGUUUGGUGAAGAACUGCAGCAAGAGUUCUGCGAUCUGUCAGAGUCAACAGAGAAGUCCUCUGAGCUCCAUGGUCUCCUUGGCUUGCCAUUGAAAGUAGAUUCAGCAUCUUCAAAUGGUUGAGGCAGCGUACCACCAGUUCUCCCGGAUUGAGAGCACGCUACAUCUCUUCUUGAUCUUCGCAUAUCGUUCAUAGUACUUACAUUUGAGCUUGACGCUUUGUUCUCCAAUUUGUGGAUCAUUAUUGAUCUCAUUUGGCUGGUGAUGAUGGCACUGCAGGAACUUCUGCAUUGGCCUCUCUGUCAAUUUGACAGUAAAUAGCAAUUACUGCUAUAUCUUAAGAGCUGGAGCACACAUCUAAUGGAUAAAACACUUACUCCUGGUGACCUUGCCUGUUGCCAGGCCCUUUAACAGAAGCUGAAUCAUGCCACUUCCAAAAGAAGGAAUGUGGACAUGAGCAAUGACGAUCCUGGACCUGGAGGAGUCCCUGGCCAAGUUCUGCAGCGCCCACAGCAAGGUGCUCUUGCCAUGCUUGAGCUCUUCUGGGACGGCGACGAAAAUCUUGUCCUCCAC